rnacentral:rRNA from 1 species
GACGAACGCUGGCGGCGUGCCUACUACAUGCAAGUAGGACGCAGUUGCGCACGGGUGAGUAACGCGUAGGUAACUGCCUUUUAGAGGGGGAUAACUAUUGGAAACGAUAGCUAAUACCGCAUAAUAGUAGAUGGACCUGCGUUGUAUUAGCUAGUAGGUCGGGUAAUGGCCUACCUAGGCAACGAUACAUAGCCGACCUGAGAGGUUGAUCGGCCACACUGGGACGGAGACACGGCCCAGACUCCUACGGGAGGCAGCAGUAGGGAAUCUUCGGCAAUGGUGGGAACCCUGACCGAGCAACGCCGCGUGAGUGAAGAAGGUUUUCGGAUCGUAAAGCUCUGUUGUUAAGGAAGCGGUACUUAACCAGAAAGGGACGGCUAACUACGUGCCAGCAGCCGCGGUAAUUC